CGCUAUCCCAGCCUUCACCUCAGCCUCUGGGCGUGCCUGUGAGGACAGGUACACGUCGCCAUCUUGGCCCGCCGCAGCCAAUGAAAACUGAGGUGUUCAAGGUCUGCUUCGUAGAUCACCACCACUACACAUUCCACAGGCCUGUGAUUCUGCAAGGAAGGAUAAAAGUCAGCAAAAAGGCAAGUUGUUAGGAGGAUCAGUAAGAUAUUACAGGUGCGUCAUAUUGGAAUGCAGGAACUAUUAAAUCAAAAAGAGAAAUAUAUAGAAAGUUAACACUAAGGAUAAGAUGAUCUGCAAAACAAAUGCAUUCAUGUGGACUCUGGAGCUCAAUGCAAGGAAUAUCACACAAGUAAGUAAAAAUGACAGUGUCACGCUGCAGAAUACGAAUACAUUUUUUCCUAGCAUGUUAUAGUUGAUUCUAAAAUGAUAAACUGCUUUAAUUACUCAUUAUUGCUCUUAAAUUACUGUAGCCUAAUGUGGUUUUUGUGUUUGUUUCUUUGUUUUUUAAUCCCUGCUGAGUAAGUUUUUAUCCAAUUAUUCUGUGAUUUUGCACAUCUCAGAUGUUAGCUAGUGUUACUUUUUUUUCAACAGCCAAUUUGCCUUAAAAAAGGGUAUACUGUUGUUCCCUUACACUUUAACUGUCCAAAGCAGCUAUACAUUACUAGCCAGCCAAGUUUGAUAAAAGAAAAAUGGUUUUGAUAACCUAUUUGGCACACAUCAGGUUGUAAUGAUGAAGAUCAGAGGAUGCUUCUCCUACAUACGAGGGAGUUUUGAAGCUGCUUUCAGUAGAAGAGAAAUCUGUAAAUUGAGUCAAAAGUUCAGGGGGAUCUUGUCAGAGGGAACUCUGCCAUAGAACAUCACUAACACUAGUGGAAUUCCACUUCUGCUUCCAGAUACAGAUAGGAGUUUGCUGUUCUCAAAUCCCAGAAGCCUUCCUGUUGCCAUCCAUUUACCUUUAUGACGACCAUUGGUCUCUCCUUCUGAGAUCGCAGAAGCAUAUCUUCAUCAGCUCCUGGAUAAAGUCUGUCAUGUUACACAGGUCACUCCAAAAGUAAUGCCUCCUAGUUACAUACGGAAAUCUAGUUUUUUCUUUACAUUUAUAAUGGUCCCAGUCCUACAGAUUUAAAAGAAUGCAUUCUGGUGUCCCUCUGAA